rnacentral:rRNA from 1 species
UACAGAGGGGGCGAGCGUUGUUCGGAAUUACUGGGCGUAAAGGGCGCGUAGGCGGCCUGCUAAGUCAUACGUGAAAUCCCUCGGCUCAACCGAGGAACUGCGUCUGAUACUGGUUGGCUUGAAUUCGGGAGAGGGAUGCGGAAUUCCAGGUGUAGCGGUGAAAUGCGUAGAUAUCUGGAGGAACACCUGUGGCGAAGGCGACGUCCUGGACCGGCAUUGACGCUGAGGCGCGAAAGCCAGGGGAGCAAAGCGGG